AACGACUCUCGGCAACGGAUAUCUCGGCUCUCGCAUCGAUGAAGAACGUAGCGAAAUGCGAUACUUGGUGUGAAUUGCAGGAUCCCGCGAACCAUCGAGUCUUUGAACGCAAGUUGCGCCCGGAGCCUUGUGGCCGAGGGCACGUCUGCCUGGGCGUC
rnacentral:rRNA from 12 species